CCACACAGACUCUCUACCUGAACCCAGGUUAUACUCCACACAGACUCUCUACCUGAACCCAGGUUAUACUCCACACAGACUCUCUACCUGAACCCAGGUUAUACUCCACACAGACUCUCUACCUGAACCCAGGUUAUACUCCACACAGACUCUCUACCUGAACCCAGGUUAUACUCCACACAGACUCUCUACCUGAACCCAGGUUAUACUCCACACAGACUCUCUACCUGAACCCAGGUUAUACUCCACACAGACUCUCUGCCUGAACCCAGGUUAUACUCCACACAGACUCUCUGGUUGAACCCAGGUUAUACUCCACACAGACUCUCUGGUUGAACCCAGGUUAUACUCCACACAGACUCUCUGGUUGAACCCAGGUUAUACUCCACACAUACUCUGGUUGAACCCAGGUUAUACUCCACACAGACUCUCUGGUUGAACCCAGGUUAUUCUCCACACAGACUCUGGUUGAACCCAGGUUAUACUCCACACAGACUCUCUGCCUGAACCCAGGUUAUACUCCACACAGACUCUCUACCUGAACCCAGGUUAUACUCCACACAGACUCUCUACCUGAACCCAGGUUAUACUCCACACAGACUCUCUGGUUGAACCCAGGUUAUACUCCACACAGACUCUCUGGUUGAACCCAGGUUAUACUCCACACAGACUCUCUGGUUGAACCCAGGUUAUACUCCACACAGACUCUCUGGUUGAACCCAGGUUAUACUCCACACAGACUCUCUGGUUGAACCCAGGUUAUACUCCACACAGACUCUCUGGUUGAACCCAGGUUAUACUCCACACAGACUCUCUGCCUGAACCCCGGUUAUACUCCACACAGACUCUCUGGUUGAACCCAGGUUAUACUCCACACAGACUUUCUGGUUGAACCCAGGUUAUACUCCACACAGACUCUCUGGUUGAACCCAGGUUAUACUCCACACAGACUCUCUGGUUGAACCCAGGUUAUACUCCACACAGACUCUCUGGUUGAACCCAGGUUAUACUCCACACAGACUCUCUGGUUGAACCCAGGUUAUACUCCACACAGACUCUCUGGUUGAACCCAGGUUAUACUCCACACAGACUCUCUGGUUGAACCCAGGUUAUACUCCACACAGACUCUCUGGUUGAACCCAGGUUAUACUCCACACAGACUCUCUGCCUGAACCCAGGUUAUACUCCACACAGACUCUCUGGUUGAACCCAGGUUAUACUCCACACAGACUCUCUGGUUGAACCCAGGUUAUACUCCACACAGACUCUCUGGUUGAACCCAGGUUAUACUCCACACAGACUCUCUGGUUGAACCCAGGUUAUACUCCACACAGACUCUCUGGUUGAACCCAGGUUAUACUCCACACAGACUCUCUACCUGAACCCAGGUUAUACUCCACACAGACUCUCUGGUUGAACCCAGGUUAUACUCAACACAGACUCUCUGGUUGAACCCAGGUUAUACUCCACACAGACUCUCUGGUUGAACCCAGGUUAUACUCCACACAGACUCUCUGCCUGAACCCCGGUUAUACUCCACACAGACUCUCUGGUUGAACCCAGGUUAUACUCCACACAGACUUUCUGGUU